UACGUAGGGUGCAAGCGUUAAUCGGAAUUACUGGGCGUAAAGAGUGCGUAGGCGGCUAUGUAAGACAGAUGUGAAAGUCCUGGGCUUAACCUGGGGACUGCAUUUGAUACUGGGUUGCUUGAAUUCGGGAGAGGAUAGCGGAAUUCCCAGUGUAGAGGUGAAAUUCGUAGAUAUUGGGAAGAACACCGGUGGCGAAGGCGGCUAUCUGGACCGACAUUGACGCUGAACGGCGAAAGCUAGGGGAGCAAACGGG
rnacentral:rRNA from 1 species